rnacentral:snRNA from 1 species
GGAUGUGAGGGUGAUCUGGCUGCGACAUCUGUCACCCCAUUGAUCGUCAGGGUUGAUUGGGCUGAUCCUCCUUCACUGCUCUGUGUUCAUCCCCCUUAAGCUGCAUGCUCAGUCAAAGAAGAUGAUUUUCCCCACUAGAGGAGGACUGGUCUUUGGUCAAAGGUAUAGGAGUAGCUCGCUCCCCUGCUAGAACCUCCAAACAAGCUCUCAAAGUCUAUAAAAAUGCAAAGGAGAGUUUGUGGGCAUAAUGCCUUGUCUGGGCAAGGGCU